ensembl:lncRNA
GUUCAAGCAAAGAAAAGGAAGAUACAUAUAUUUUAACCUCCCAGAAUAAAUGCUUCCCCAAAAGGUCAUAUUGCUGCAAGUCAUGACAUUAUGAGCCUGAUCUCAUGAAGCUGAUACAGAAUGGCCCACAGACACAUUUGUUCCUCUCUUAAAUCAAGACUGAAUUUCCUUUGCAGACACAGCUCUAUGGAGUAGCCGUAGGGUGAGGCUCUGUGCUGUGUUACAUCCAAACCGAAACAAGAUGAUCACCACGGUCUCUUUCAGCAAAAAGUAGAACACAACAAGAAUUUGAAUGGAUGGCAGUCAGACACCUAUUUCAGUCUGAGUCUGCUCUCCUUAUGGCUCCUGCUGCCACCGUCUGCCUGCUUAGACAGACACUGUUCUUCCACUGGGCAAUACAGACAUUUAAGUUCCCUGAGGAGCAGCACUGCUGACUCUCACCUUCUGAUUAUACAUAUUGAGACUUUCCCACCUUCUCUACUGGGGACUGCAUUCAAAAACCACCUCCCAUGUGGAGCAGCUCUGAGAAUCAGAUGGAUGAAUAGUUUGCAAACACUCCCAGGAGGAGGUGUGCAAUAGAUGUAGAUGGAUCCAUUUCAGUCAAGAACUCAACACCUUUGACAGAUGGACUCCAAGACACCUGGAAUCAUAGAAUCAUAGAGCAGCCUGAGCUGGAAGGGACCCAUAGAGAUCAUCAGGUCCAAAUCCCAAGUAAGUCUCUGGGAAAAAAUGUUGUUGUCAAAUAAAUCUGUGCUGGUGUUCAGUUAAAUGAGCUUUGGUUGGUAUUGAAGAUUGCUGUAUCCAGACUAAGGAAAGGACAGGUCUUUGCACAGCCUUCCUGAUGGACCUGGCUUAAAGUGCCAGUGGGCUGGGAUACCUGCUGGAUUUGAGCUCAGCUUGCAUAAUAUGGACUGCAUGAUCUCCGAGGUUCCUUCUGAACUUUUCUAGUCUAUCCAUAUGGUACCAGAUGAGAGUCAUCAGCCCCUAAAUGAAAUCAGCAAUUGGUUUAUUAUUAGUGCUGUUAAUAUUAGUAUUUCACAGUAUGAGGAAGUGGUACUCAUUACUCGUUGCCAGGACUAGGGAAUCCCAUCCAAGUGCAGGUCCACUCCUGAAGGUGUAACUGCAGUUUGAAGUGUCUGGGCAGACAUGGCUGAAGCAGUUUGUAGGUUUGUAGAGAAAGUAACCACUGUUUUUAAUGUGUUUGCUUGCUUGUUUUUAAAUAUGUGCUUUACCCAUAACAAUAAAAUAGGAACCAUUUUGCUUUCUUUGCUUUCCUCCAACACAAGAACUUCCCUGAGCUGUGUUGGUGGAGCUGUUUUGAGGCUUGGAUGGGAUUAUUUCUCGGUCAGUUAAAAAUCUUCUCUCUUUUCUGCUGUUCUCUGCUUCCCUUGGAAGGCGCUCACUGCCAAAGGUGAUUUUGCAAGCACUUUUCAGGACUCCAGCCACAAUCUGGACUUUUAUGUCACGGGACAUUUCCGCCAACAUGCAUAAUUUCAGUCUCAGAUUCAGUGUCUUGGGUCCUACUUGUAACCUCUGCAAGAAAGCAUUGCUCAUGUGUUUCAUUUAUGCUCAGAGACCACAACCCAGUAGUUCAGUAUUUCUCUCAGCAGUGCUCUUAUUUUUCUGAAAUAAGCUUGCUCUAUUUCCUUUAUGCACCCCCAAGCUCUUAUUUUCACCUCUAGCAUCAAAUCAAGAGCUGGUGCUGAUCUGGUGGCUGACUUGCCACUCUGAUCUUAUCAACAUCACUGCUGCCCUCUUUUUGCUCACCAGGCUUGCACACUGGUUACAUGCUGACCUGUGUGAGCAUGUCACGUUUGCCAUCAUUUUACCUACAGUCCACACAGUCCAUUUUUAACUUCUGUCACUGUUUAUCACAUCCAAACUUUUUGUUGAAAGUAGUUAUAUAUUCAUCAAUAACAGAGGGAACAGUGAUUUUUGUGAAGAAGCCACCAUUUGGUGAUCAUCUCUUAGCAAAAACCCAGAGCUUGCAAGUAUUACAGUGUCCUCCAUUUGUCAAAUCUGCAGUCUCACCCAAGAGAUAACAGAUCUCUCCUAGGUAAACCAGUUGAGUUGACUUUGGGACCUGUGCUCUGCCAUGCUGGCCAGGAGCAGGGCUGGCCCCGCCUGCUCAGUCUGUCUGUAUCAGUUUGGUUAUUGAGGACGAAGAGCUGACAUCUUGUCACCUGCUACGUGGCUGUGGCUCAUCCUCUCUGCAUGAAGAAAUGCCUCUGGCUGCAGAGCCUCCUGACAUUCCUGGGUUAAAUGCAGUUAGAAGAAAUAAAUAUUUAUAGCUGCCGCCCGUCUGAACCAUGACUAACAGAGUCAGCGCAGCAAUUUGGCCACACUUCUUCCAGGAUUUUAUCACAAAUGUAAUGCAUGAAAUCCUACAGACCUAAAUAUUUCCUUCUCAUGCUCGGUAGCUCUGCUGGUCCUGCAUCUUUUGCAAGGUCUUCCUCUCACCUUCCUGAUUUCCUCUGGACAGACCACGUGCUGCUGUCUGCCCCCUGCCCCCAUUCUGCAGGAGCACACCAUGCGUGGUGUGUGGAUGGUGUCCUGAACGUGCUACUUUCCCACUCCUGUGAAGCUGAACUCCAGAAGCCAAGUGGCCCGAGCAGCCCAGAGGGCAAGGAGUGGAGUGGAGGAAGAGGGAAGAAGGGGAUCACGAAAGACAAAGAGGGAAGGGAAAGAAAAAGCAAGUAGCUAGUGAUCUGUGAAACCUUCAUUGCUAACUGCACGGCUUCUUACUGCCAAUCUCUGCCGUUUGCAGCAGCAAGGCAUUUAUUCACCAGACACGUUUUGUAUUUCCCCAGGUUGCAUUUUGCCUGCUAAGAGAAGAUGUCCAUGAUUUGGCACUGUGUAAUCCAAUUCAGAUUUAUUUGAUGUAAGGAUUUGUUAUUAAGGUUAGAAGAUUUCUUUUGCACAAUUAAAUGAGAA